AUAUAUUAAUACCAGUUAAAUGAUAUAUAGGACAAGGAAAUGGUAUAUAUAAAUACCAGUUAAAUGAUAUAUAGGACAAGGGAAUGGUAUAUAUAAAUACCAGUUAUAUGAUAUAUAGGACAAGGGAAUGGCAUAUAUAAAUACCAGUUAAAUGAUAUAUAGGACAAGGGAAUGGUAUAUAUCAAAACGAGUUAUAUGAUAUAUAGGACAAGAAAAUGGUAUAUAUCAAUACCAGUUAUAUGAUAUAUAGGACAAGGGAAUGGUAUAUAUCAAUACCAAUUAUAUGACAUUUAGGACAAUGUAAUGGUAUAUAUAAAUACCAGUUAUAUGAUAUAUAGGACAAUGGAAUGGUAUAUAUAAAUACCUGUUAGAUGAUAUAUAGGACAAGUAAAUUGUUUCAUUGAGAUGAGGACCAUUUACUUGUUAUAUUUUAGAAAUUCCUUCUUUGAUUGUUUUAUAUUGUAAAGAUUGUAAAAAAUUACAAAUUGUAAUUAUGGAAAACCAUAAAUGUGUACAAGUUAAUACUGUUAGUCAGUAUUAUUCAAACAGUAUCGUUAAAGGGACUCCACUGAGGAUAGUAUUUUCUUAAUUUAUUGACAUGAUAGGACGGGAGUUAUGUUGUUGAGGUUUCAUACUAUUUGAAGAAGAUAUAUUAUUUUUAUGUAUGCAAAAUUUCAGAUUAUUUGCUCACUUUGUUUUACCAAAAUAUUAGUAAUCAUUUUAACUCGACUAUUCAAUGAAUAGCUAAUGCUAUAAUAGUACUUACCCCCAUUGGCGUCAAACUUAGGUUACUUUUAUGUGUGCAAGUUGGUAUCUAAAAAACUACUGAAUAAAAAUUUCAAUUGACAUUCUUGUUCUUUAACAUGACUAACACAAAUCCCAUACCUCUGAUAUUUUUUCCUCAUUUUUAUGCCCCUUUUACGACUUAAAAAAUCUUGGUUAAGUUUUUUACUUAUAAGAGUAGGUUAGAACUUCACACACAUAAAUGAGAGUAAUAGGAAGUCACUGUCCGAGCACAUAGAUAUUUGACAGAAUUAUUUCCCUUUUUAAAGUUAGAAAAUUCUGCAUUAUCCAUCACUGUGGAUAGUCAAUCACAAUGUCCUGUCGACAGUGUUUAAAUGUUUAAAGCUUAAGACCGUCUGAAAAUUACACUUCAAUAAUAUCGAUUUUAAAUCUUAUUCUGGGUAUUUUUCAUUAGUAUCAUUUUAUUUUUCCGUAUUGAAUACCCCGAUUAAUCUGUUUUAGAUUUUCUAUUUUUGUUCUUUUUUGUUUGGCUUUUGGACCUCAGUGGAGCUCCUUUAAGUGAACUCUUUGUUGUUUAUGUUAGUAUGAUAAAUUUAAACACUAGGCAAGUAUAGAUAUUCCUUGCUGUAAAUUCAUAUGUACUAGUAUAUACUGUAACUACAUAGUCAGUAAAACAUAAUUUUUAAUCAAAACAUGUUAUACACCAUAGAUGUAAAUAUGAUUUCAUUAUACCUUCAUACAUAUCCUCAAUUUAAAUGUACAAUUGAGAUAAAAAUAUACAUGGCUGUCAGGUGCAAGUGCUUAAAUUUGACUCUUCAACAUUUUUGAUUGCUUUAAUGCUUUGAGAUAGUAAUGAUAUAAAUACAUCUUAUUAACUGUAUGUUAGUUUUGUUAUGCUUGCUGAUGUAAGUAUAUACCAAUGCUAUAUAUAAACAUAUGUUGAUGUCUGUUUGUUAUAUGCAAUUCUGAUUAAUGUAUCUAGUACAUAUGUAAACAUAUUAUUACAUGUUAAUAAAUGUUUAUUGUAUAAUUACAAGCUACUGCAAUCCUUUUACGAAAAAAAGAUUACAUUAUUUUAUAACAAGAAAUGUUAUGUGACAUGUAACUAUACAUACAUUUUAAACAGUUAUACCUGUUUGUUGUAAAGGCCCAUUAAGCCUUAAAAAUGCAAUCACUUUUAUUUUUAAAAACUUUCAUUUUUUUGUGCAAAAAGUUUCUAAUUGGCCAUCUUAGCCUUUUUGUAUGCCCGAAAGGGCAUAUUAUGUUAUACCCCCUGGCGUCCGUCCGUCCGUCCGUUAGCAAUUUGUCCGUUAGCAAUUUGGUUUCCGGAGCAUAACUUAAGUUCCAUUUGGCCCCCAAUGUUCAAACUUCAUAGGAUGAUUGUCCAUAUUGGGUAGAUGACCCCUAUUGAUUUUGGUGUCAAAAGGUCAAAGGUCAAGGUCACUAUUACCUUGAUACUGAAAACAGUUUCCGUCCGUUAGCAAUUUGGUUUCCGGAGCAUAACUUAAGUUCCAUCUGGCCCAUAAUGUUCAAACUUCAUAGGAUGAUUGUCCAUAUUGGGUAGAAGACCCCUAUUGAUUUUGGGGUCAAAAGGUCAAAGGUCAAGGUCACUAUUACCUUAAAACUGAAAACAAUUUCCGGAGCCUAACUUAAGUUCCAUUUGACCCACAAUUAUCAAACUUCAUAGGAUGAUUGUCCAUAUUGGGUAGAAGACCCCUAUUGAUUUUGGGGUCAAAAGGUCAAAGGUCAAGGUCACUAUUACCUUGAUACUGAAAAUAGUUUCCGUCUGUUAGCAAUUUGUCCGUUAGCAAUUUGGUUUCCGGAGCAUAACUUAAGUUCCAUUUGGCCCACAAUGUUCAAACUUCAUAGGAUGAUUGUCCAUAUUGGGUAGAAGACCCCUAUUGAUUUUGGGGUCACAAGGUUAAAGGUCACUAUUACCUUGAAACUGAAAACAGUUUCCGGAUCAUAACUUAAGUCCAUUUGACCCACAAUGUUCAAACUUCAUAGGAUGAUUGUUCAUAUUGGGUAGAAAGACCCCUAUUGAUUUUGGGGUCACAAGGUCAAAGGUCAAGGUCACUAUUACCUUGAUACAGAAAACAGUUUCCGGAGCAUAACUUAAGUUCCAUUUGACUCACAAUGUUCAAACUUCAUAUAGUUAAUUGUCCAUAUAAGGUAGAAGACCCCUAUUGAUUUUGGGGUCAAAAGGUCAAAGGUCAAGUCACUAUUACCUUGAUACUGAAAACAGUUUCCGGAGCAUAACUUAAGUUCCAUUUGACCCAUAUAUUCAAACUUCAUAGGAUGAUUGUCCAUAUAAGGUAGAAGACCCCUAUUGAUUUUAGGGUCACAAGGUCAAAGGUUAAGGUUAAGGACUUAAGUAUUAAUCAACCUACAUAUGUAAAAUUUUAUAGGAUGAACAGCUAAUUCCCAUGUCUAAUGAAUGCUUCAUCCUUACUAAAAAAAACACUUUCUGGCAUAUAAUGCUCCGCCUAGCGGUGCUCUUGUUUUAGUUUCAUUGCAAUUUGGCAACAAGAACAUUAUGAUAGAUAAGUAUUUUAUAUGGAUGUGAAAUAACCAUUUUGUUUACAAUUUGCUACACUUAUUAUAUUUAUACCCCCGAAGGAUGUGAAAUAACCAUUUUGUUUACAGUUUGCUACACUUAUUAUAUUUAUACCCCCGAAACGAAGUUUGGGGGUAUAUUGGAGUCACUCGGUUGGUCGGUCCAGCGGUCCGUACAUUUUCCUUGUCCGGAGCAUAACUUGAAGACUAAUGGUUAGAAUUCAAUACAACUUCAUACAAUUGUCAAGCACAUUGAUAGGAAGUGCAGUGCACAAAGACCAUAAAUCCAUCUUCACUAACUACAGAGUUAUUGCCCUUUGUUACUUUUCAAUUGCUUCGUUUUGUCCGGACCAUAACUUGAAGACUAAUGGUUGAAAUUCAUUAUAACUUUAUACAAUGGUCAACCACAUUAAGAGGAAGUGCAGAGCACAAGAACCAUAACUCCAUCUUCACUAGUUACAGAGUUAUUGCCCAUUGUUACUUUUUCUUGUCCAGAGCAUAACUUAUAAAGUUCUGGUUGGAAUUCAAAACAACUUCAUACAAUGGUCAAGCACAAUAUGAGAAAGUGCAGUGUACAAGAACCAUAACUCUGUCCAGAGUAAUGACGAUAGAGUUAUUGCCCUUUGUUACUUUUCCAUUGCUUUUUUCUUGUCCAGAGCAUAACUUGAAAACUACUAGUUGGUAUUCAAUACAACUUCAUACAAUGGCCAAUUAUUUUGAGAGAACAAAAAUCAUAACUCUUUCUUGACUCAUUUAAGAGUUUUUGCCCUUUGUUACUUUUUAUUUUCCAGUGUAUAAAAUGAAAAUUAAUGGUUGGAAUUCAAAGAAACUUCAUAAAAUGGUCAAGGGCAGUGAGAUGAAGUGCAGUGCACAAGAACCAUUUCUCUAUUUUUACUAAUUACAGUUAUUGCCCAUUGUUUUUUGUGUUUUUUUUUUGUCCAGUGCAUAACUUGAAAACUAGUAGUUGGAAUUCAAUACAACCUUAUGCAAUGGUCAAGCGCAAUGAGAGAAAGUGCAGAGUACAAUAACCAUGAUUUCAUCUUCAGUAUUUGUAAAGUUAUUGCCCUUUGUUCCUUUUCCUUGUCAGGUGCAUAACUUACAAACUAAUGUUUAGAAUUCAGUGAAACUUCAUUCAAUGGUCAAGUGCAAUGAGAGGAAAGUGAAGUGCUCAAGAAGUGUAACUCUUUUGGACUUAUUACAUAGUAAUUCAAUUAAACUUCAUUAAUGGUUAACCGCAUUGGAAAAGGAAAUGCAACAUACAAAAACUACAACUAUCUUUAAUAACCCACAAUCAAACAUCUAUUUAAGUUCUUUUGCAAGGUAUUGUGUUACUGGUAACUUCCUUAUUUCCGAAGCAGUCUUGCAGGGGUAUUAAUCAUAUUUAGUGAUAGUUCUAGUUUCUUUUCAAACUCAUUUUUGUAAGGUGUUUAGAAUAUCACAUGUUGUAAAUCUUUUAUUACAACAUUAUAAAACCCAUGUUUGCCCUUUUUAACAAAAAAAUAAUAUUCAUUUCUGAGAAGUAAUGUGCCUUUAAACUUUGAAUGUAUAUUAUAGUGUAAAUUCAUUUAUACUAAGUAUGAUAACAUGAAAAUCAUGUUAUGAAUUGUUUACUAGGUAUUUGAAUUUAUGUGUAUUUUAUGCUUAUAUUUGUAACCCUCAUGAUGGCAAAACUAUAUUGGCCAUGUUUAUACUUAAACAGUUCUAUAUGAAGUAAAGAUAAGUUCAUGCUGGAAUAUUUUAUGUCAAAUGUACAUAUGCUUAUGGUAUUAAACAUGACUGUUUAAAACUUGAAAUGUUCAUAGAAAACAAUAUUCAGCUAUUUUGUUAGCAUCAAUAAAAACUUGUCUGAAAGAACUAAACAAUAGUGAAACUUUUUGAAACAAUUCUAUUCAUUUUAUAUAGCACUUUUUAAGUUUAUUAUAAGUAGCUGGUUUUAUUGAAGAAUUAUAAGAAGAUAUCAGGCAGUGGUUGACCAACAUUUUGUAUAAUAAAUAACAUGUCUAGAACAUUAUGUAUUUUAUAAGGUUAAACAAUUUAAAUUCAGAAUGGAUACACCAGAUCCAUAUUUAUUGAAUUUAUCCAACAAUGGUGACAUGUAUAUCAGUAUAGAGAAAUGUCAACAAAAUGUUGGCAAUAUAUAACAUUUAUAUCUGGUCAUAUAACCUUUAUGAGAGCAUUGUUAUUCUGCUGCUUUUGUUAUAAAUGUAAUACUUUAAAUAGUAAAAUAUAUCUUUUUGAUUGGUUCUGAUAGCAUGUAUGUGUGACUUUUCAUAAUAAAGAAUUGUACAAAA